CAUUUUAAUGGCUAAAAUAGAAUAUAAAUAUCCUAAAAUCUAAUAUUACUACAAUUCCCAGAAGCCACCGGGAGAAGUUUGUGCUGAGAGGGGAAGGCCACACAGGCCAUUGAACUCUCCUCAGCCCUUCCCUGUCCAGCCUCCAUCACAGGGUCUGAUGCUCCUCUGAGUUCUCUACAGGUCACAUUUACGUCAUGUUAACGAGCACGUCUGGGACCAGCUGAAGCAGAGACUUGAGGAAGAGUGGAACGCCUCAGAACAUCGAGAGGAUGGUGAGGAGCAGGAGACAUCACGGUCAAGAUGUUGUUGCAACAAAUGGUGGAAAUAUGACAUAAACAUGAAAGCCAUAUAUAACCACAUGGGAGCCAAGCCUGCAGAAGAGUGGAAUAAAAGGCACAUUUCAUGCAGGUCUCGUUUGCAUGGCCAGACUAAAAAGAAAAAAAUCAUGCAUCUCUGACAGUUUUCAGGAGGCCGGGCAAAAUGUGGAGGCAGGCCAGAUCCUGGUAUAGAGCAGUGACCGGAACUUUUGUUUUUUGUUUUUUUAGGUGUGCAGGUUUGUUUCUUAUUGUUGUAUGUCAGCAUCUUUGCUCUCUUGGAGUAUAAAAGUCUUUAGAGUUCUGCUUAUCUUACUGUUGAGGUGUUUUGUACACACAAGUUACUCUUCUGGGUCAACACAUGAUAAAUGUAAAUAUUUCAGACAAUAAAAAU